GACGAACGCUGGCGGCGUGCUUAACACAUGCAAGUCGAACGGAAAGGCCCUGCUUUUGUGGGGUGCUCGAGUGGCGAACGGGUGAGUAACACGUGAGUAAACUGCCCUUGACUUUGGGAUAACUUCAGGAAAAUGGGGCUAAUACCGGAUAGGAGCUCUUGCUGCAUGGGGGGGGUUGGAAAGUUUCGGCGGUUGGGGAUUGACUAGCGGGGUAUCAGCUUGUUGGUGGGGUAGUGGCUUACCAAGGCUUUGACGGGAAGCAGGCCUGAGAGGGUGACCGGCCACCCUGGGUCUGAGGUGCGGCCCAGGCUCCUACGGGAGGGAGCAGUGGGGAAUCUUGCAGAAUGGGCGGAGGCCUGAUGAAGCAGCGCCUCGUGCGGGAUGACGCCCUUCGGGUUGUAGACCGCUUUCGCCUGUGACGAAGCGUGAGUGACGGUAAUGGGUACAGAAGCCCCGGCUAACUACGUG
rnacentral:rRNA from 1 species